UACGUAGGGGGGCAAGCGUUGUCCGGAUUUAUUGGGCGUAAAGAGCGUGUAGGCGGCCAUGUAGGUCCGUUGUGAAAACUCGAGGCUCAACCUCGAGACGCCGAUGGAAACCAUGUGGCUAGAGUCCGGAAGAGGAGAGUGGAAUUCCUGGUGUAGCGGUGAAAUGCGCAGAUAUCAGGAGGAACACCGGUGGCGAAGGCGGGUCUCUGGGCCGAUACUGACGCUGAGGAGCGAAAGCGUGGGGAGCGAACAGG
rnacentral:rRNA from 1 species